rnacentral:rRNA from 1 species
UACGUAGGGGGCAAGCGUUGUCCGGAUUUAUUGGGCGUAAAGAGCGUGUAGGCGGCCUGAAAGGUCAGCUGUGAAAACUCGAGGCUCAACCUCGAGACGUCGGUUGAAACCAUCUGGCUAGAGUCCGGAAGAGGAGUGUGGAAUUCCCGGUGUAGCGGUGGAAUGCGCAGAUAUCGGGAAGAACACCCGUGGCGAAGGCGGCACUCUGGGACGGUACUGACGCUGAGACGGCGAAAAGCGUGGGGAGCGAACAGG